rnacentral:rRNA from 1 species
CGUCCUGAGGGAGAAAGUGGGGGAUCUUCGGACCUCACGCUAUCAGAUGAGCCUAGGUCGGAUUAGCUAGUUGGUGGGGUAAAGGCCUACCAAGGCGACGAUCCGUAACUGGUCUGAGAGGAUGAUCAGUCACACUGGAACUGAGACACGGUCCAGACUCCUACGGGAGGCAGCAGUGGGGAAUAUUGGACAAUGGGCGAAAGCCUGAUCCAGCCAUGCCGCGUGUGUGAAGAAGGUCUUCGGAUUGUAAAGCACUUUAAGUUGGGAGGAAGGGCAGUAAGUUAAUACCUUGCUGUUUUGACGUUACCAACAGAAUAAGCACCGGCUAACUUCGUGCCAGCAGCCGCGGUAAUACGAAGGGUGCAAGCGUUAAUCGGAAUUACUGGGCGUAAAGCGCGCGUAGGUG